CAGACAUUAUUUUCUUAAUUUGUCCCACCAACCAUGAGAAACAAGCCAGAAGAGAAUAAUUAUUUCCACUUCCCAAGUGGAAACCCAGAAGAGGACCCAGCAGCCCUGCCUGCAUCCGCUCCUCCGGUACCGUUACCGGAUAUCCGGUACUACUUCCGGGUAUCGGAACGUGGCAAGCGUGCGCCCAACCGCCAGGCAUCUGGGCCUCGCGCCCGGUCCGUGUUGUAGCCCGGCCGCUCUGGGACUCAGGCUCCACGCACGUGUCUCACACGGAGGUGCACCUGUCCUCGGCCCAAACCGCACCAGCAGAAGUGCCAGAACUUCCGUGGAUGUCAUAAAUCAAUAACUCAAGCAUGGAUUGAUUUAUUGGAGGAAUAUGAAGUUUGCGAUGGGGCAGUAAAAGAAAUGGAGAGGUCCCAAGAUUGGAAAAAUCUCAUCAUGGCCCCCCCCACCAGAAAAACUUCUGCUUGGGGGGGGGGAGCUUUCAAAAUACUAUAAUAAAUUCUGUGCAAUCA